rnacentral:rRNA from 1 species
AGGGGGCUAGCGUUGCUCGGAAUCACUGGGCGUCAAGGGUGCGUAGGCGGGUCUUUAAGUCAGGGGGGAAAUCCUGGAGCUCAACUCCAGAACUGCCUUUGAUACUGAGGAUCUUGAGUUCGGGAGAGGUGAGUGGAACUGCGAGUGUAGAGGUGAAAUUCGUAGAUAUUCGCAAGAACACCAGUGGCGAAGGCGGCUCACUGGCCCGAUACUGACGCUGAGGCACGAAAGCGUGGGGAGCAAACAGG